CGUGCUAAUCUGCGAUAAGCGCCGGUAAGGUGAUAUGAACCGUUAUAACCGGCGAUUUCCGAAUGGGGAAACCCAGUGUGACUCGUCACACUAUCAUUAACUGAAUCCAUAGGUUAAUGAGGCGAACCGGGGGAACUGAAACAUCUAAGUACCCCGAGGAAAAGAAAUCAACCGAGAUUCCCCCAGUAGCGGCGAGCGAACGGGGAGGAGCCCAGAGCCUGAAUCAGCAUGUGUGUUAGUGGAAGCGUCUGGAAAGGCGCGCGAUACAGGGUGACAGCCCCGUACACAAAAGCGCAUGUGCUGUGAGCUCGAUGAGUAGGGCGGGACACGUGGUAUCCUGUCUGAAUAUGGGGGGACCAUCCUCCAAGGCUAAAUACUCCUGACUGACCGAUAGUGAACCAGUACCGUGAGGGAAAGGCGAAAAGAACCCCGGCGAGGGGAGUGAAAAAGAACCUGAAACCGUGUACGUACAAGCAGUGGGAGCCCCACCACUAAGCCAGUGGUGAACUCCACAUACGCAUCCUUUGCUGAGGAUACGGUUAACGGAGCGAAAGCGACGUUCAACCUCAAAAGAAGCAGAGGGGGCUUAGUGGUGGGGUGACUGCGUACCUUUUGUAUAAUGGGUCAGCGACUUAUAUUCUGUAGCAAGGUUAACCGAAUAGGGGAGCCGGAGGGAAACCGAGUCUUAAUUGGGCGUUAAGUUGCAGGGUAUAGACCCGAAACCCGGUGAUCUAGCCAUGGGCAGGUUGAAGGUUGGGUAACACUAACUGGAGGACCGAACCGACUAAUGUUGAAAAAUUAGCGGAUGACCUGUGGCUGGGGGUGAAAGGCCAAUCAAACCGGGAGAUAGCUGGUUCUCCCCGAAAGCUAUUUAGGUAGCGCCUCGUGAAUUCAUCUCCGGGGGUAGAGCACUGUUUCGGCUAGGGGGCCAUCCCGGCUUACCAACCCGAUGCAAACUGCGAAUACCGGAGAAUGUUAUCACGGGAGACACACGGCGGGUGCUAACGUCCGUCGUGAAGAGGGAAACAACCCAGACCGCCAGCUAAGGUCCCAAAGUCAUGGUUAAGUGGGAAACGAUGUGGGAAGGCCCAGACAGCCAGGAUGUUGGCUUAGAAGCAGCCAUCAUUUAAAGAAAGCGUAAUAGCUCACUGGUCGAGUCGGCCUGCGCGGAAGAUGUAACGGGGCUAAACCAUGCACCGAAGCUGCGGCAGCGACACUAUGUGUUGUUGGGUAGGGGAGCGUUCUGUAAGCCUGUGAAGGUGGCCUGUGAGGG
rnacentral:rRNA from 1 species